AGCUGAAGAGAGCCGUCUAUUGACAGUUCAAGACCACGAGUCGUUGUGUGCUGUCAUGGAGUCGCUCUCUUCAGAUGA
rnacentral:pre_miRNA from 15 species